rnacentral:rRNA from 1 species
CCUACGGGGGUCAGCAGUAGGGAAUAUUGCUCAAUGGACGAAACCCUGACGCAUCAACGCCGCGUGGAGGAUGAAGGUUUUCGGAUUGUAAACUCCUUUUGUUAGAGAAGAUAAUGACGUUAUCUAACUAUUAAGCACCUGCUAACUCCGUACCAGCAGCCGCGGUAAUACGGAGGGUGCACACUUUACUCGGAAUCACUGGGCGUAAAGUUCGCGGAGGCGGUUUAGCAAGUCAGAUGUGAAAUCCUAUGGCUUAACCGUAGAACUGCAUUUGAAACUGUUAUUCUAGAGUAUGGUAGAGGUAGGUGGAAUUCUUGGUGUAGGGGUAAAAUGCGUAGAGAUAAAGAGGAAUACUCAUUGCGAAGGCGACCUGCUAGAACAUAACUGACGCUGAUGCGCGAAAGCGUGGGGAGCAAACAGGAUUAGAUACCCUAGUAGUC